CCUACGGGAGGCAGCAGUGGGGAAUUUUGGACAAUGGGCGCAAGCCUGAUCCAGCCAUGCCGCGUGAGUGAAGAAGGCCUUCGGGUUGUAAAGCUCUUUCAGACGGAAAGAAAUCUCUUGGGUUAAUACCCUGGGAGGAUGACGGUACCGUAAGAAGAAGCACCGGCUAACUACGUGCCAGCAGCCGCGGUAAUACGUAGGGUGCGAGCGUUAAUCGGAAUUACUGGGCGUAAAGCGUGCGCAGGCGGUGAUGUAAGACAGAUGUGAAAUCCCCGGGCUCAACCUGGGAACUGCGUUUGUGACUGCAUCACUCGAGUACGGCAGAGGGAGGUGGAAUUCCGCGUGUAGCAGUGAAAUGCGUAGAUAUGCGGAGGAACACCGAUGGCGAAGGCAGCCUCCUGGGCCAGUACUGACGCUCAUGCACGAAAGCGUGGGGAGCAAACAGGAUUAGAUACCCUGGUAGUCCACGCCCUAAACGAUGUCAACUAGUUGUUCGGUGAGGAGACUCACUGAGUAACGCAGCUAACGCGUGAAGUUGACCGCCUGGGGAGUACGGCCGCAAGGUUAAAACUCAAAUGAAUUGACGG
rnacentral:rRNA from 1 species